rnacentral:rRNA from 1 species
UACGGGAGUGGCAAGCGUUAUCCGGAAUUAUUGGGCGUAAAGCGUCCGCAGGCGGUCUUGUAAGUCUGUUGUUAAAGCGUGGAGCUUAACUCCAUUUGAGCAAUGGAAACUGCAAGACUAGAGUGUGGUAGGGGCAGAGGGAAUUCCCGGUGUAGCGGUGAAAUGCGUAGAUAUCGGGAAGAACACCAGUGGCGGAGGCGCUCUGCUGGGCCAUAACUGACGCUCAUGGACGAAAGCCAGGGGAGCGAAAGGGAUUAGAUACCCCUGUAGUCCUGGCCGUAAACGAUGAACACUAGGUGUCGGGGGAAUCGACCCCCUCGGUGUCGUAGCCAACGCGUUAAGUGUUCCGCCUGGGGAGUACGCACGCAAGUGUGAAACUCAAAGGAAUUGACGGGGGCCCGCACAAGCGGUGGAGUAUGUGGUUUAAUUCGAUGCAACGCGAAGAACCUUACCAGGGUUUGACAUCCUGCGAAUCUUUUGGAAACGAGAGAGUGCCUUCGGGAACGCAGUGACAGGUGGUGCAUGGCUGUCGUCAGCUCGUGUCGUGAGAUGUUGGGUUAAGUCCCGCAACGAGCGCAACCCACGUCGUUAGUUGCCAGCAUUUAGUUGGGCACUCUAGCGGGACCGCCGGUGAUAAACCGGAGGAAGGUGUGGAUGACGUCAAGUCAUCAUGCCCCUUACAUCCUGGGCUACACACGUACUACAAUGCUACGGACAAAGGGCAGCAAACUCGCGAGAGCUGGCAAAUCCCAUAAACCGUGGCUCAGUUCAGAUCGUAGGCUGCAACUCGCCUACGUGAAGGAGGAAUCGCUAGUAAUCGCAGGUCAGCAUACUGCGGUGAAUACGUUCCCGGGCCU